UGGGUGACCUGCCCUCAGCUCUGGGAUAAGCCCGGGAAACUGGGUCUAAUACCGGAUAUGACCUCUCAUCGCAUGGUGAGGGGUGGAAAGUUUUUCGGUCUGGGAUGGGCUCGCGGCCUAUCAGCUUGUUGGUGGGGUGAUGGCCUACCAAGGCGACGACGGGUAGCCGGCCUGAGAGGGCGACCGGCCACACUGGGACUGAGACACGGCCCAGACUCCUACGGGAG
rnacentral:rRNA from 1 species